AUGGAAAACUAAACGUCUUGGGUUACUGUGCCGUGUCUUGGGCUACCUGUGGCGAGGGCACAGGUAACCCAAGACGUUUAGUUUUCUAUUUUUUUG
rnacentral:miRNA from 1 species